rnacentral:rRNA from 1 species
GCCAGCAGCCAUAUCACCCUGCAACUCACAACUGGCAACCCACUGAAGCUAAGCAGGUGUGAGCCUGGUCAGUACCUGGAUGGGAGACCUCCUGGGAAAAAUCCCAGGGCCUUUCU